CCAAAUGCGCCUCCCAAUAGAAGCAGUAAGACCAGUAAAGUAAAACAAACUUCACUGGAAUGUUAAUGGAAAAAUUAAUUCAUGACUUCAUCUGCUACUAGUUUGCUCACUUCUUUCCAAAAACCAUCUAAAUAUCUUGCAAGAAGAUGUUCAAUUGGAAAGUCUGAAUGUUUACUUCAAAACAACAUUACUAAAUAUAUCUCCACCCAACCAUAUCAUGCUUAAAAAAUCAUUCCUAAAAUAUAACAGG
rnacentral:lncRNA from 1 species